rnacentral:rRNA from 4 species
GGCGGGUCCGCCCGCCGAUUGGACAAACUUAAACCCUUUGUAAUUGAAAUCAGCGUCUGAAAAAACAUAAUAGUUACAACUUUCAACAACGGAUCUCUUGGUUCUGGCAUCGAUGAAGAACGCAGCGAAAUGCGAUAAGUAGUGUGAAUUGCAGAAUUCAGUGAAUCAUCGAAUCUUUGAACGCACAUUGCGCCCCUUGGUAUUCCAUGGGGCAUGCCUGUUCGAGCGUCAUUUGUACCUUCAAGCUCUGCUUGGUGUUGGGUGUUUGUCUCGCCUUUGCGUGUAGACUCGCCUUAAAACAAUUGGCAGCCGGCGUAUUGAUUUCGGAGCGCAGUACAUCUCGCGCUUUGCACUCAUAACGACGACGUCCAAAAAGUACUUUUUACACUCUUGACCUCGGAUCAGGUAGGGAUACCCGCUGAACUUAAGCAUAUCAAUAAGCGGAGGAAAAGAAACCAACAGGGAUUGCCCUAGUAACGGCGAGUGAAGCGGCAACAGCUCAAAUUUGAAAUCUGGCGUCUUUGGCGUCCGAGUUGUAAUUUGCAGAGGGCGCUUUGGCAUUGGCAGCGGUCCAAGUUCCUUGGAACAGGACGUCACAGAGGGUGAGAAUCCCGUAC